CAGUAGCUCAGCUGGAUAGAGUGUUGGCCUCCGGAGCCAAAGGUCGUGGGUUCGAAUCCCGUCUG
rnacentral:tRNA from 1 species